GUAUGCAAAACAUAUUUUUUUUCCUGAGAGAGCAAAACAGGGAAACAAAGCGUUCUAGCUUUGCGAAAUGCUCGACCUCGUGUCUUAUAUAAAAAAAAUUUAAGAAUUAAAGUUAUUGUGAAAAGUUCUCUCAGGUUUAUCCAUUUUUAAAUUUUAACCAAAUUUAAUUAAUUGCCAUCCAAAAUUUUUUUACUGCUCUUUGUUGUUUUUUGCUAUUUAAUAAUUAAUUCAAUCUGUAUUAAGUCGGUAUGUAUCAAGCCAUGUAAAAUGAAAAUAUUCAAGGAAAUAUGUAUUUCGCGAAUCGGGCAUUCCGCAAAUCUAGAACGCUUUGCCAUCCAUAUUUUAUUAUUCAGAUAUCAACAUAGGGUGUUAGUUUUAUUUUUUUUAAAUUUAUUUUAAUUCACAGGCGGGGACGGAUAUUAAAAAUAUUUAUCUUUAGCAGUGAGCCACCAUCCAGACAAAUAUUAGACAAGGACAUUUGUGAAUACGUUAUAUUUGUAUGGACAACGGGCCACUAAUCCAUACAAAAUGCUUGUAAGGAGCGUUUUCAGUGGAUAUUACAUCGUUCAUCAUCUUCAAUUAUUAUUAUGUUCCCAAAGAAGAAAAUAAUAAAAAAAAUACUUGAAUU